UGACCUCAAAUCAGGUAGGACUACCCGCUGAACUUAAGCAUAUCAAUAAGCCGGAGGAAUC
rnacentral:rRNA from 1 species